rnacentral:rRNA from 1 species
GUGAACGCUGGCGGUAGGCCUAACACAUGCAAGUCGAACGGCAGCACAGUAAGAGCUUGCUCUUACGGGUGGCGAGUGGCGGACGGGUGAGGAAUACAUCGGAAUCUACUUUUUCGUGGGGGAUAACGUAGGGAAACUUACGCUAAUACCGCAUACGACCUACGGGUGAAAGCAGGGGAUCUUCGGACCUUGCGCGAUUGAAUGAGCCGAUGUCGGAUCAGCUAGUUGGCGGGGUAAAGGCCCACCAAGGCGACGAUCCGUAGCUGGUCUGAGAGGAUGAUCAGCCACACUGGAACUGAGACACGGCCCAGACUCCUACGGGAGGCAGCAGUGGGGAAUAUUGGACAAUGGGCGCAAGCCUGAUCCAGCCAUACCGCGUGGGUGAAGAAGGCCUUCGGGUUGUAAAGCCCUUUUGUUGGGAAAGAAAAGCAGCAGGUUAAUACCCCGCUGUUCUGACGGUACCCAAAGAAUAAGCACCGGCUAACUUCGUG